UACGGAGGGGGCUAGCGUUGUUCGGAAUUACUGGGCGUAAAGCGCACGUAGGCGGAUUGUUAAGUCAGGGGUGAAAUCCUGGAGCUCAACUCCAGAACUGCCUUUGAUACUGACGGUCUUGAGUCCGGGAGAGGUGAGUGGAACUCCGAGUGUAGAGGUGAAAUUCGUAGAUAUUCGGAAGAACACCAGUGGCGAAGGCGGCUCACUGGCCCGGUACUGACGCUGAGGUGCGAAAGCGUGGGGAGCAAACAGG
rnacentral:rRNA from 1 species